UCCGGGGUCGUCUAAUGGUAGGACAGCAGAAUUUGGGUCUGCCUAUCGAGGUUCGAAUCCUUGCCCCGGAGCCA
rnacentral:tRNA from 1 species